AUGCCCACACUCCUAAAAGUGUUCCAUUCAACAGGUUCUCAAGUCACAUCCAUCAUUGGCACCAGGAUUGAGCAGUGUGCCAUACCCCAAAUUUGUCUGCCAUUUAUUCCUACAGUCAAAAAUAUUUUAAAUUUUAUUUUUAUAAUAUUAUUUGAUUUUUAUAGAUAUUCAUUCUCAAGUCCAGUUAAAAAUAUAAUAAUUUAUUUCAAAUUAUUUUUGUUUUUAAAAUAA